CCCUCCCUCACGCCCCCUCCCAGACUGUCUGCACGGGGAGGCGCCGCUGUCAGCCCUGACCAGGUGGCCGGGAGGUGAAGCCUCCACAGGCGGCGGGAAUGAUGCUCUUCAAUGAAACGAUCACCCUCAGACGGAACAUCUUCACGGCGGAACAAAGACGAUUGCCGCAACGCAGGGACUUCGUGGCCUGGCCCUGGUCAUCCUUCCCAGACCCUUCUCUGUCCGCAUUCAGUUGUUCCCCGAACGUGCCUGGAACCUCAGAGCAGUUCCUCCCGCAGGACCCUUCUCCAGGUGACAGGUGUCCGCCAAGCUCAGCCGAGAAAUCCCCUCCCUCAGGCCAAAUUCACUCUACGAGCCUCCUCCCCUUCCCGUGGGGCUGAAUUAAAGUUAAACUUUGUGUUUUUCA